UACGUAGGGUGCAAGCGUUGUCCGGAAUUAUUGGGCGUAAAGAGCUCGUAGGCGGUUUGUCGCGUCGAAUGUGAAAACCCGGGGCUCAACCCCGGGCCUGCAUUCGAUACGGGCAGACUAGAGUUCGGUAGGGGAGUCUGGAAUUCCUGGUGUAGCGGUGAAAUGCGUAGAUAUCCGGAGGAAUACCAAAGGCGAAGGCAGUGUCCUGGCUGGUGACUGACGCUGAGGUGCGAAAGCUAGGGGAGCGAACGGGA
rnacentral:rRNA from 1 species